GUGCGGGUCGGCCUGCCAGGAUUGGCGUGUACUGCCCGCGCGCUCUUAUAGGACUUUUCGUUUGUGGGCCGCUGCUAUUAACUUAGUGGCGGUUGCGCACGAGAACGUUUCCUGUGAAAAAAUUAGAGUGUUCAAAGCAGGGAAGUUUCGCCUGUUGAAUAUCGCAGCAUGGGAUAAUAGAAUAUGACCACCGCUUGGUGCGUUUGUUGGUUUUAACCGCGGAGGUAAUGAUUAAUAGGAGCGGUUGGGGAUAUUAGUACUCCGCAGUCAGAGGUGAAAUUCUAUGAUUUGCGGAAGACUAACUACUGCGAAAGCAUUUAUCAAGGACGCUUUCAUUGAUCAGGAACGAGAGUUAGGGGAUCGAAGAUGAUCAGAUACCGUCGUAGUCCUAACCUUAAACGAUGCCGGCCAGGACAAUCCGGAGACGUUAAAUGGAUGACUCCCCGGGAGCCUUCUGAGAAGUCAUAAGCUUUUGGGUAACGGGGGGAGUAUGGUCGCAAGGCUGAAACUUAAAGGAAUUGGCGGAAGGGCACCACCAGGAGUGGAGCUUGCGGCUUAAUUUGACCCAACACGGGAAAACUUACCAGGUCCAGACACCAGAAGGAUUGACAGAUUGAGAGCUCUUUCAUGAUUUGGUGGGUGGUGGUGCAUGGCCGUUCUUAGUUCGUGGAGUGAUUCGUCUGCUUUAUUGCGAUAACGAGCGAGACCAUAACCUGCUAAAUAGCUACGCAAACCAUCUGAUACGGGGUGAAGGCGCGGGACUCGGCACGGCCCUCACGGGUCGUCGCCGCCCGCGUUGGAUCCUCUGAUGCGUUUGUGGCAAGGCUUCUUAGAGGGACAGUUGGCGGAGAGCCAAAGGAAGGUUGUGGCAAUAACAGGUCUGUAAUGCCCUUAGAUGUUCUGGGAUGCACGCGUGCUACACUGACGAAAUCAGCGAGUACAACAACCUUGGCCGGAAGGUCUGGGUAAUCUCUGAAAUUUCGUCGUGAUGGGGAUAGAUCAUUGGAAUUAUUGAUCUUGAACGAGGAAUUCCUAGUAAGCGCAAGUCAUCAGCUCGCGCUGACUACGUCCCUGCCCUUUGCACACACCGCCCGUCGCUCCUAUCGAUGGAUGAUCCGGUGAGAACAUGGGACGGCGGCACUUCGACCGGUUCGCGCCGGUCCGUGCCACCAGAACUAGUUGAAGUCGUAACAAGGUAUCCGUAGGUGAACCUGCGGAUGG
rnacentral:rRNA from 1 species